rnacentral:rRNA from 1 species
AACGAACGCUGGCGGCAUGCCUAACACAUGCAAGUCGAACGAGACCUUCGGGUCUAGUGGCGCACGGGUGCGUAACACGUGGGAAUCUGCCCUUUGCUUCGGAAUAACAGUUAGAAAUGACUGCUAAUACCGGAUGAUGUCGAAAGACCAAAGAUUUAUCGGCAAAGGAUGAGCCCGCGUAGGAUUAGGUAGUUGGUGGGGUAAAGGCCUACCAAGCCGACGAUCCUUAGCUGGUCUGAGAGGAUGAUCAGCCACACUGGGACUGAGACACGGCCCAGACUCCUACGGGAGGCAGCAGUGGGGAAUAUUGGACAAUGGGCGAAAGCCUGAUCCAGCAAUGCCGCGUGAGUGAUGAAGGCCUUAGGGUUGUAAAGCUCUUUUACCAGGGAUGAUAAUGACAGUACCUGGAGAAUAAGCUCCGGCUAACUCCGUGCCAGCAGCCGCAGUAAAAC